GGCCCUUUUUACCUAACUCACCCUGUCAACUUUCCCUGUGGGAGGAAACCGGAGUACCCGGGGAAAACCCACGGCUUUCGGCAGAGCGUUGACUUUUACUCUUUUCACAUGGGGGCUGGGUUCGAGUCGCACUUAGAAGGUACUUAGUGAGACUCGAACCUGCAGCCUCAGAGGUGAAAGGCAAGUGCGCUAACCACUUGGCCA